rnacentral:tRNA from 1 species
CCCUGGAGGACUAGUGGUUAGGCCACAGUGCUCAUAACACUGUGGCCUGGGUUCAAGUCCGCAUUUUAGGUG